AACGGAGCUUCCCGAUCUCCGUUUGCAGCUACAGGGAGUAGCCUCGGACCCAUAAAUUCCAAAUAAAAAUUAUCGUUUAUGUUUUCUUGUCGUUUAAUGCGUCGUUGGUACUAGAAUCUUAGGAAGUCAAAGUUUUAAAAUAGAUGGGGACCACAGACGUGAUACAAUAGGAACAAAAUGUUACUCCCGGUAACAGGUAGCGGCGGCGGCAACAGCGGCGGGAAGAGACGCAAUGGCUGCUACCUCUGCUCCCACACGGAACGACGACGAGUCGCGCUCUUCGGCGCAGGAGAUUUUUGUGACGAUGCUUUCAUCUGCGCAUGAGCCAUUGAACUGGGGUGCCAGCUCUAGCGGCACCAGCGAAAAGAAAAAAAAACGCGCGAGUGCACUGGUCCGAGUCAGAGACGUGGGCUCUCAUUCGGCUAUGGCAGGACAAUUUGGCGGAACUUCGGCGGCACAGAAGAAACUCCGGCGUCUACGAGACGAUCCGUGUAGGCCUGGAGAGACUGUCUAUCGUCAAGACGCGCAAGCAAGUCAGCGAUAAGAUAGACAAUCUGAACCAGACGUACAGGGCUAAAAAGAAAAGCCUGACAACUGGGUCAGGAAAGGUCUCCUGGCCCUUUUACUACGAUCUACACAGUUUCUUGGGGAGCCUGCCCGUCAACGACCCAAGUCUCGUGAAUGACUCGCUCCCUGCGGAUGUUGUUGAGGAACCUGGAGACAGCCCUCACGAAGGGCCAGACGACGACAACGAGGUGGUGGACCUAAAGGAAGAACCCCUCGAGGAGCGGCCAAAAAAAAAAAAAGGAA